GGUGUCUUCCUCUGAUGUGCCAUCUCUUCGUUAUCCCCUUCGGCGACUCGACAAGUUUUGAAGACUCUUCAUGCUACGACGACACUCUCAAGACGCGGAUUUGGAUUAUCAUUUUUUUUAGUUUUACACUUCUUCAAAUGCAAUGCUAUUGCAUACGCUUUGCAUUUGGGGGGGGGGGGUGUUAAGAAGUAUUAGUAGUAGUCUAGGAGUCCUAUUAGUCUAUGUUUACUUUCCUUGCACCUCAAGUCUUGUGUAAUAUAUAUAUGCCCCUUGGGCCUUUAAUAAAGAUAAGUUGCUUUCCUAACACUAACAAAAUACAGUAAAUUGGCAUAUGAAUAUUGAGCACACUGCUAUUGAUCUUGCAUCAAUACAUUUUGGGCAGUAACAGAUUAGAAUUUUAUGUCUAUUUUACUGAACAAUUAGUUAUAUAACACUUUCUUUUAGACCUUAUGAAGAAAUCAUCAUAUCUGCUUUUGAGCGUAUUUUUUUGAUUUUUUUCCAUGUUGAAGCAGUAUUAUUUUCUUGAACAGAAUGGGGAAGCAGUAUGUUCUCAUUUAUUUAAAUGCAGGCAAUUGCAAUAGCUUGUUGCUUCAAGGACGAGGGCCCUCUAUUAAUAGUGUGCCCAGCUGUUCUGCGUUAUACUUGGGCGGAGGAAUUGGAACGCUGGGAUCCUUCAUUUCUUCCAAAAGAUAUUCAUCUUGGUACUGAUUCAGAGUUUCAUUAUUUACUGAUGCAGAGUUUCAUUAUUGAAGAGUUAAUAUUACUGAUGGCAAACCUGGUGUUAUAAUUAUCACAUGUUUUAGUGUAUCUAAUUUGAUCCUGAAUGCCUGUGAAGUUACAACGGUCUCCAUAUUUAUUUUCAUCAAGUUUGGAUUGCCACAUGUGCCAUGUGGUAACGAUCUCCAUAUAUGAAUUGCAUAUUUUGUAUUUUAUCCAUACAAAUUUUAAGUAUCAAAUUCUUUUGGCCCAGGUAUCAUUCAUCUUUUGCAUCAGCAUCAGUUUUGAAAUAUUGCACUGAAAACAGUUGCAGGACAAUAUUGCAUUCCAUAUGAACAAUCAUAGAUGGACCAGAUCACUCUAUACCUAGUUUCAAUGGAUCAUUAGUCCAAUAUUGCCCAGGAUAAGUUGACUUAUCCUGGGAUCUUAGUAUCUUAAUGGACAUAGAACCAUAGAUUAGUAUGUGUUUUGAUGAUGUUCUAAGUUCUAGCAAAGGUUCAUUUGUUCCAAUUAAAUGUGGCACUGAAUGCCGAAACGAAUUAUCAAAUAAAAAACACAUUGCUUUACCUAGUUUUGGCGAACUAUGGCAAGCCACUCCUUUUCGGGUGACACCUUAAGCAAGUUCAGGAAAGGCACGAGUCUAUGCCAGGUUUGUUCAUGUCAGGACAGUGUGCCAAAGAACUAAAUACCUACCGUAGAGUGUCAAACUUGCCUAACUAUGGCAGUGAACCAAACAUGCCUUAACUCAUUGCUAGGCCUGUGGCCACUACUUGCUUGCCACACCUUAGUUUGGCAACUGCGGUGUUGGUGUUUGGUUAUUUGCAAAACUUGUGGCUCCUGGCUCACCACACAUUUUCAGUCCUAUACCCUGCAUGUCGUUGACACAUGUUUUUGGGCCAGACAUUACAACACUUUUAGGUAAGAAUUUGCUUGCCACAAAAGUGACAUGCCAUACUUUUGACCACAUGUGGCUACCAACCAAAGUUUUUUGGACUGAAAUGCUAGCAACUAAAUAGGCUCAUGUUCAAGUUUACCAUGUUGGUUUGCUACUUAGGCAAGUUAUGGGUAGUACUUGUACGUUCCCAUAAAAAUGGAACUCCUAAAGUAGUAGUAUUUGGCAACUGGCUGGGUGGUUUCAAAUCAGGCUCUCAGUUGAUAUUUUUGUGUAACUAAUAGGAUGCAUAUGCGUUUCUACGGAGCAUCAUUAUCAAGGGACAUAUAGUCAUUGAUAGAAAGGUCGUUCUAUUUAGCAAACACGCAUGUGGUUUCCAACCACGUCGCUACAAACACCGUUUGCUUUCUCCAUCUUCCUGUCCCUCUGCAACCACUGUGUACUCCUCUGUGUGCUCGUCUGGUUCCCUUCCUCGCAGCAUUUCUCCUUUGCACUCCUGCCCUGCAAAAGAUAAUGCGUCAUCUUCAUCGCUGUCCACCUGCCCCUUAGCUCUCCCUCCUGUAGGGUUGGAGGCAAUGAGUUGAGCCAGCCUUGACUUUCCUCAUUCAAGAUUGUUCGAAAAUAUGCUUGAUACCGCUCGACCUGGUUGGAGAAAUGGAGAGACGGGCUAAAAGAGAGGCUUGGGUUGGACCGUUUCUCAUAAGCACUCACAAGACAAGGCUACACCUUGAGUCCUUGACAACAACUGGAGUAUUUAUUGCAAAUAUUGUGAAAUUGCUGAAAGUACAUACACUACACACGGCUUGUUUCAUUGUACAGAGUAAUGAGGUGUCAGAAUGAACAUGUAAAGCAAUAUGGUCAACGGUGAAGUAAACGAAUUGGUUAAAUGAUUAUAUGAAGUAGGUCCAUCCAUCAACAUGCAAGUGGGUCCAUGCAUAGAUAAUAAGCUUCAUGACCUAGGUCCAUAGACGAGUUAAUAAGCUGCACGAAGUACGUUGAUAUAUCAACUGACGGAGCCAAACAACCAACAUGACAAGCAUAGGUAGGGGAGCCAAACAAGCCAACAUGACAAGCAUAGAGGAUUGGCGGUGGCGUGCUAGGGUGUUGGAAGGAAGCAUGAUAGUUGUGCGCACAGAGCGGAAGUUCUGGGGUAUCAGAGGUAUCAGAGUAUGCGGGGUUCACCCGUUGGAGUUAUUUUUUCCAGGGCACUGCCAUUGUGAGUAAGGAUCAUACUUUUUAAGGCGUCCAGGCGUUUUAAGGCGUUUUUUUUGGGGGGGGGGGGGGCGCCGCAACGCCUAGGCGCUUAAAGCGCGAGGCGAGGCGACGCCUUAGUUCAUUUUCUGAACAGAUGAUGAUGAAUAAAAUGACUAGAGCACUAGACAUAAAUAGUCGAAAUACCUUGAUUUUUCUGGUUGUUGAGCCCACACAACAUCCAUUUUUUCCAUCUUUCUUCCCAUUUCUUUCUUCCAGAAUAGAAAUCUGCAUAAAGAUGGAACAUACAUGGUUAAAACUUGACUUAAGUACUUAACAGACCACCAUUGGUAAGGAAAACAGAGAGUAAAUGGGAGUACAAGUGCAAAAGCAAAUAAGAUGACAAACAUGAGUGCAAAAGCAAAUAGGUCUAGCUCUCCACAACCACAAGUCCACAACACAAAAUAAAUUAGGUUCACAAAUUACAACAUAAAAUAGGUUCCAAACAGGCAAACACAAUGAACUCAAUAGCCAUCAUCGAACUCAUCCAUGGUAGCAUUUGUGUUGUCUUCACCAUCUUGGUCAGCACUAGUUGGAUCUUCUUCAUCAUCGGUCACAUCAACAUCAUCUUGAGGAAAGUCUGAAUCAUCAUCCUCUCCAUUGGGGAUUCUUGAGUGUUGUUCUUGGUCAUCGUCUUCACCAUCUUCAUUAUGAAAUGGUUGUGAUGGAGCAGACCUUUUGCGCGGCCUCUCGUACUGGAUAUUGGCAUUUGAGUGCCUCCUUUCCAUGGUUGUAGCUCUAGGAAAACUGCGACCUCACAGCGACGAACUUGCACCAACAGCCUCAUCAACAAGCUCCCAUGGAAUGUCAUUGGGACACUCUCGAGCACAUUGGGCUGGGCGUAUUGUUGGGUCAACCCACUCAUUGCCCCAAUUAAAAUCCUCAAUGAUAAGAGGAUCAUAGCUUUUGUCACCCAUCUUCUCACGCCUCUUUUUAAACCUAUCCAUGUUCUUCCGGUUGUAUGAAACAAAGACAUUGUCAUUCAAUCUUUGAACUUGUAAACGGUUCCUUUUCUUUGUGUGGAUCUACAAAUAGCAAAUAGAGUGAAUAAAGAGAAAGAAGUUAACUUGCUGAAAUUAACUUGCUCUUGCUGAAAUGAAGAGAAUGAAGCUACUCACAAAUUCAAAUGUGCUCCAAUUCCUCUCACAACCGGAUGAUGAAGCACAAAGACUAACAAUACGCUUUGCAAACCUUUGUAGCUCAAUUGCUCGACCACCAUAUGAACGCCACCAAUCAACUUAAAUGGUAAAAAGUAAAAACCCAAAUUAGCAAAGGUUCCUUGCUGAAAUUAAAUUGCUUUUCAUGCUGAAAUUAACUUGAGUCGACUUACGAGGUUUUUUUUUCUGAAAUGUUUUGGAUUGCCAUCACAUUAGCAAAGGUUCCUCGCUGGUCCUCAUAGAGAACAGAUUGUGUAUCAAUCUUCUUGCCAGUUUCGACUCCAAUAUAGUGUAGGAAUCCUCUCCAUUAGAAGCUUGCCCGCUGCCUUGUAGUUAGCACCAUUGUCGGUGACAACUUGGACAACAUUCUCUUUACCGACAUCCUCAAUUCUCUUCUCUAGCAAAUCUGCUAUCAUCCGAGCAUCUUGGAAUUCACUUGAUGCAUCCACCGACUCCAAGAAGUAAGUGCCCUCCGGGCUGUUUACAAGGAAGUUGAUCAAGUGGCGUCCCCUUCUAUCGGACCAGCCAUCUGACAUAAGUGUGCAGCCAUAUUGCUUCCAUGCUACCUCGUGCUGCGCCCUCAACAGUUUUGUUUCCUUGACACAAUCCUUAAGCAAUGGCUCCCGCAGCUCAUGAGGAGAAGGAGGCUUGGAACCUGAGCCAUAUUGACAAGAGACUUGUAUUGCAAUCUGAAACUACCUAGAGCUUGCAACAUUGAAAGGUAUGCCACACUCAUAGAAGAACAAUGGACACUGCAUACUCACAUAGUGUCUUUCUUCCGGUGUUUUGGUGCUUUGAGAACACCCGGAGCGUCUUUCAUCGACAACAUCCUCAGGUUUUCUCCUAAGCAUGGAAACAAUUGACUUGGCUGCAACAGGUUGACACUUUUUGCCAGUGAUUUUUACAGCAAAGGCCUUCUUGUUCCUCUUGGCUGCUGUCCUUGAACUUGGCCUUGUAGUGGAGCAUUGAACUGUUGAUGCCAUGGUUGUUGAAUCUACCUCCACUACAUCAUCAUCAUCAUCAUUUGGCUGUCUUAUUUUUCUCCUGUUGUUCUCUAAAUAUUCUGACAUCUCCCUCCUAAGUUGUGUGGUAGCAUUUGGACAGCCUGUUGCAUCCCCACCGGUGGCUGCAAGAUGCUCUUUGUGUCUCUUGAUCCCUCCUUUAGUUAUCUUGCCACAAGGAUUGCCUACAACCAUAUUGAUGUCCGGAGGUUUCAACCAAUACCCAUACUUCCAUCCAGGAUCAUUUGACCUCCGUGGCCGGCGUGUUGGAUCUUUCAUUGGAUCAUAAACACCCUCAUGAGCAUCACCAUCCCCAUCUGCCAUGACUGCAAAGUGCAACAACCAACAUAUUAAAUAAACAUCCACUAAGCUACAACUACUAUUCUAAUAAGCUAGACAACUAGUAUAAAGCAGAUUCACUAACAAUAUACUAAUGAUCCACUAACAAUAUACUAAUGAUCUACAGCUAACAAGGACAAGCAUCAAUUAUUUUAACCACAGGUGGCUUCAAAUUGCAGCAACUAGCACUAUAUCAGAGGCACAACCCACAAGCAGGCAAGCAGCUCAGCACAGCAGCACAACACAACACAGCAGUGACGGGCGGAGAGGAAAGACCAUGGGGGACAGGGGGAGAGAGGGAAGUCGUACCUUGUUGCCCUGCUGGGGGAGGGAUGCGCCAGGGGAGGAGAGGAAGCUUGGCCAGCGAUGGGGAGGAAGCUGGAUGAGGGAGGAAGCUUGGCCGGCGGACGGGAUCUGGUGGAGGAGGGGCUGGCCGCCUGAGAGGAGAGAGCUCUUCUCUCACUCUCAGAUUGAUUUUCUGCACCGGUGUGUUCCCCACUCUCUCUCCCAUCUAUUUCACCUCAGGUUGGCCCCCAAUUUCUAUCCAAUCCCGCCCAAUUUUUGUUUCCCGCUCCGCCACUCACCAGUUCCCGCCCAAGGCGUCCAAAUUGGACCAAGGCAAUGCCUCCCCCGCCUAGGCGACGACUUGGACGCCUCAGGAAGGGAAUCUGGACGCCUUGGUCCAUGGUCUAAGGCGAGCUCGACGCUUCGCCGUCUCUGGGCACUCUGACGCCUAGGCGACGCUUCGGGGACGCCUUUAAAACAAUGGUAAGGACGGAAGGUAGUGUGUUCGCACUACCACCAACCCCAUCUUUUUGAUAUAACUAGAUGAUGCCCCACACGUUGCCGUGAGAACUGUGUUAAAAAAAUGCAUGAAUAAUUGUUUAAAAAAAGCUAAACUAAUGGACAAAUAAAUGUAAAAGUGUUCUCAGUUUACAUUUUGCACGGUCUUUGAUGCAUGACUUUGACCACUAAUAUAUAUCAAGUACAUGGAUUAACCAUGUCUAAAUGGCAUUGUCGUAUAUAUCUUGCAAAACAGUUCUACUUCAUAUGCUUGUGGUUGUUGACUUCCGUUUUUAGAUUCGUGUCGAGCGGGACAAGCGUGCCAAAGUCGCUAGAAUGAAGUGGUAGAAGCUCAAGGGGGAGGUAGCUCAGGAAUUCAAGGAGAGGGUCAUUAUGGAGGGCCCUUGGGAGGAAGGAGGUGAUGCAGACAAUAUGUGGACGAAGAUGGCGACUUGCAUUCGUAAGGUGGACUCAAAGGAGUUUGGAGUGUCCAGGGGAAGUAAAAGCGAAGCUAAAGAUACCUGGUGGUGGAACGAUGAUGUCUAGAAGGCUAUUAAGGAGAAGAAAGAUUGUUUCAGACACCUAUACCCUGAUAGGAGUGUGGACAACAUAGAGAAGUACAACAUAGAGAAGCAAGCUGUGAGUAAAGCAAGGGGUCGGGCAUAUGAGGACCUCUACCAGCAGUUAGACACGAAGGAAGGCGAAAGGGACAUCUAUAAUAUGGCCAAGACCGAGAGAAGAACACGAGGGAUGUUGAUCAAGUCAAAUGCAUCAAGGACGAGCAGACCAGCUCCUUGUGAAGGACGAGGAGAUUAAGCAUAGAUGGCGGGAAUACUUCAACAAGCUGUACAAUGGGGAGAAUGAGGCUCUACCAUUGAACUGGACGACUCCUUUGAUUAUACUAGCAGGUGUUUGGUGCAGCGAAUCCAGGAGCCGGAGGUCAAGGAGGCUUUAAAAAGGAUGAAAGGAGGCAAGGUGAUGGGCCCUGAUUGUAUCCCCAUUGAGGUGUGGAGAGGCCUCGGGGACAUAGCGAUAGUAUGACUAACCAAGCUUUUCAACCUCCAUUUUCUGGCAAACAAGAUGCCAGAAGAAUGGAGACGGAGUAUAUUAGUACCAAUCUUCAAGAACAAGGGGGAUGUUCAGAGUUGUACUAACUACCAUGGAAUUAAGCUGAUGAGCCAUACAAUGAAGCUAUGGGAGAAUCAUUAAGCACUGCUUAAGAAGAAUGACAAGCGUGACAAAAAAAUUGGUUUCAUGUCUGGGAGGUCGACCAAGGAAACCAUUUCUUGGUACGACAACUUAUGAAGAGAUAUAAGGAGCAAAAGAAGGACCUGCAUAUGGUGUUCAUUGACUUGGAGAAGGCCUAUGAUAAGAUACCGUGGAAUGUCAUGUGGUGGGCCUCGGAAAAACACAAAGUCCCAGCAAAGUAUAUUACUCUGAUCAAGGACAUGUACGGUAAUGUUGUGACAAGUGUUUGAAGAAGUGAUGGCGACACUAAUGACUUUCCGAUUAAAAUAGGACUGCACCAGGGGUCAGCCUUGAUCCCUUAUCUUUUUGCCUUGGUGAUGGAUGAGGUCACAAGGGAUAUACAAGGAGAUAUCCCAUGGUCUAUGCUCUUUGCAGAUGAUGUGGUGCUAGUCGAUGAUAGUCGGACAAGGGUCAAUAGGAAGUUGGAGCUAUGGAGACAAACCUUGGAAUCUAAAGGUUUUAGACGUAGAACCAAAACGGAGUACAUGAGGUGCGGUUUCAGUACUACUAGGCACGGGGAGGAGGCGGUUAGCCUUGAUGGGCAUGUGGUGCCUCAGAAGGACACCUUUCGAUAUUUGGGGUCAAUGCUGUAGAAGAAUGGGGAUAUCGAUGAAGAUGUGGAUCAUCGAAUCAAAGCCGAAUGGAUGAGGUGGCGCCAAGCUUCUAGCAUUCUUUGUGACAAGAGAGUGCGACAAAAGCUAAAAGGCAAGUUCUAUAGGACGACGGUUCGACCCGCAAUGUUGUAUGGCACUUGAGUGUUGGCCGACUAAAAGGCAACAUGUGCAACAGUUAGGUAUGGCAGAGAUGCACAUGUUGAGAUGGAUGUGUGGCCACACAAGGAAGGAUCGAGUCCGGAAUGAUGAUAUAUGAGAUAGAGUUGGGUAGCACAGAUUGAAGAGAAGCUGGUCCAACAUCGCCUGAGAUGGUUUGGACAUAUUCAGCGCAGGCCUCCAGAAGCUCCAAUGCAUAGCGGACAGCUAAAGCGUGUUGAUAAUGUCAGAGUUUGGGGUAGACCGAACUUGACAUGGGAGGAGUCCGUAAAAAGAGAUCUGAAGGAUUGGAGUAUCACCAAAGAACUAGCCAUGGACACAGGUGCAUGGAAGCUUGCUAUCCCUGUGCCAGAACCAUGAGUUGGUCGCGAGAUCUGAUGGGCUUCACGUCUAGCCAACUCCAACUUGUUUGGGACUAAAGGCUUUGUUGUUGUUGUUUGUACUAAUUUUAUAGAUAUAUAAUACAUGAAAGUCAAAGUCAUUUAACGAAGACCUAAAGAGUCAAACAGUGCCUUAUAUUUUGAUAAGGAUGGAGCAUGUGGCAAAAUGAUUUUAAAAAGAGAAAAAACAUUUAAACUGAACUUAAUGUGACGCCAUCUUUAAAAUGUGAAGCAUGAACUAUAUAUGUUUGCUCCAAGCUUCCAACACAUAUACCGUCCAUGACCAUACAGAACUUAAUGUACAGUAAACAAAUUAACUUGUGAGUUGUGACUAACAUGCAUGAUUUGAUUCCCCCAGGAAAAAAAGACAUGCAUGACUUGAUGAGGUGGCAUGCUUUGUGUGGAUAUAUUUGCAAAAUUGUAACUUAUGAGUACAUGCAUGAUGAUUUGAGGAUGUCACGCAAUUUAGAUCAAACGACUACCAAUGAUUGAGGUGAUGUGGAGGCACACAUGUGGAGAAAAAUCUAGUAGUGGGGGCUAGCUAUUUAGAUAUAGAAGAUAUGUAAAGGUUUAUGUUAAUGAAGAUCAUUAAUCCUAUUCCUUUUCCCUCGUAUAACUGUAUCUUCAAUUUUGGACACUGCUCUAUUGCCUUGGCUUUUAGCUUUUCAGUGUUUAUUUUGUAUAAAGAACACCAAAUUUGACUGUUAUAAUUAUAUCUGUAUUUUCCUCGUUCUUUUUUUUUUCAGUGUUUGGCCGACGAGACAGUCUUGAAUAUCUAGAUUUUUGUCCCAAGGUCGUUAUUAUUUCAUACAAGAUGUUAAGCAUCCUUCGGAAAAGUAUGAUUAAAAGGAGAUGGGCACUGAUGAUCAUUGAUGAAUCCCACAACAUACGCUGCACAAGGAUGAAAGAAGAAAAUACUCAGGUGAUACUAUCAGGCAAGAAUUGAAUGUAUCAAUCCCAAUCCAGGAGGGAGUGUAUUUGACACAUCAUAUUUUAUUAUCUUGUAGUAAUCAUAACAUUGUUAUGUUUGGUUACUCUCUGAUGAAAAAAUUGUUUCUAAACCUGCUUCGUGCUUUCAUCAUUUCAUUGUGCUUCCUUAAUUUAAAAUACUAUAAGAAUGCAGAACCACUGAAACUCUGUUGAACAAUCUUUUUCUUAUCACUUCAGCCACCUUAUUUCAAUUUAAGGCGCCUUCUAUGAUAAUUUUAUUUAUAAUUUGUAGUCUUACUAAUCUGAUGCAUCAACAAUCCACUUGCUUUACCAAUGAUCACUUCUACUCUCUUGUGACUGUGACAGACAAACGCUGUACUGGAAAUAGCUCUCAAUAUCAACCGCAUUGUGUUGCUUUCUGGGACACCCUCUUUGUCAAGGUUGUAACUUCUAAAAUAUAUCCAUUGAAUUCUUCUCAGUGGUCCUUGUGUUGUUGCGCUAUUUUUCUUGUGGAUAUUUUUUUUGCGGGACAUUUCUUGUGGAUAUUUAAAACCAUAAACAGGCAAAUAGAUUUAUGGUAUAUGAAAUAUUUUAUGUAUGUCAUUGGGCAAUUUCAAAUGUCACGAUUAGAACCAACCUCAAAGCACUUCCGUUUUAAUGAAGAAUUAGAAAAUAAUUGAAGUUUUUAAACUACUCCCUCCGUUCUAUAAUGUAGUGCGUAUAGAUUUUUUGAGAAGUCAAACUUUUAAAAUUUUGUCCAAGUUUUUAGAGAUAACUAUUUAUAUCUACAAUACCAAAUAUAUAAAGUAUAAAAGUUUUUUUUUCGAGAAAACGCAAAAGCCUUUGCGUUUCAUUGCAUUGAAAAGAGGGGGGGGGGGGUAAACAUCCUCCUAGGAGGCUAGUACAUCGGUGUUACAAAUAGAUCAAUGGACGUCCCAGGAGCAAAUAUAUAAAGUAUAAAAGUUAAUCUUAUAAUGAAUCUAAUGAUAUAAGUUUGACAUUCUAAGUAUGAAUAUGUUUCUCCACAAAUUUGAUAAAAGUUGGUGAAUCUUGACUUAAAAAAAAUAUCCACUACAUUGUGGAACAGAGGGAGUACCAUUUUCUCCCACUGUUUUGACUUUAGAAAAUAAUACUAAAAGGUCUUUGCCAGUUUUCUCCUUCUGUUUUCAACACCAAACUAAGACCAGUGAUCCAUGAGAAACAUGUCAGUUGCAUUCUUCUCUUCAGCAUAUGGUUACCUGUUCAAUUUUUUAAAAUAGGGACCUAAGGGAGUAUAUUGAUUUGCUGAAUUUUUUGUACUACAUAUUGGUUCCACUUCCCUUACCAAUUAUUUUUACAUGUGUAUCUUCUAUUUUCUCUGUGUAAGCUGAGCUCAGUGUCUGUAUUGUGGAUGUUAAAAGUGCCCAUGCGUGUCUUUGCAUUCUUAUGUAACUUUUACCAUGCGCACGAUAUAUCUGACUGAUUGGUACUGAUGUGUGAUUUUGCUGUGAUACAAUUGCAUUCCAGAAAACUAGUUAAAUCAUCUUACUACUCUGGGCUUGACUUAUCAUAUAUGUUUGUUUGUCAGAUGUAACUUAUGGUUUAUUUUUUCCUAGGUGACAACAGACCUUUUGACAUCUAUCACCAGAUAAAUAUGUUAUGGUAAGAAAAGCAGAAUGUCAUCGUAUUGUGUUGGGCAUAUCGAUCUUUUCUGACCACUCCCUCCCUUGGUUUUCAGUCCCCGUUUGCUUGGACAUGAUAAAUUUGAAUUUGCAAAGACAUAUUGUUCACUGCAUGUUGCUCAAAGUUCCCAGGGUAAAAUUUACCAGGUAUCUAUAUCUUGUGAUUGUCCCUAUUGUCAAGAAGAUUGGUAGAUCGCUUCAAAACCUUGCAGACUUGCACUUGCAGUUAAUUUGAGCAAAUAGUGUCUGACUAUCUGUUAGUCUAUACAGAAAUGUUUAAAUAUUUAAGUUUUUCACAUUGUUUCACGUUCAGGACUUUUCAAAGGGUGCUCGGUUGACAGAGUUAAAUGUUCUGCUCAGUCAGAUUCUGAUGGUUAGCUCUUUCUCUUUCAGCUAUUAAAAAGCCUCUUUUUAUAGCUUUCUGUGAUUAUUGUAUCCAUGAUACUGUAUCUUGUUACUGCUAUCCAAACUGCUCAUGAACUUAUAUGGUCACUGCAUAUUUGGCCUAAGUUCUUGAUGAUAUUUUUUAAUGAAUUUUGAUCAGCUUGGCACUAUAUACAGUUUUUAUGUGUAUGAACUUUGUUUACUUGAUUAUGUAUACAGUCUGCAUGGCAGUAUGUUAUGGAAUGCUGUACUGUAUGCAUGAUGAAAUUAUUUAUGUUGUGGAAACUAUCCUUUACAUGGUCGAUAAUGUUCUUAACUACGAACGUGUGUUUUAGUAAAGAAGUAUGUUUAAGAUGAGACUAGCUUCAGAGUCUAAUACUCCAUACAUUCUCUGUUUAGAAUGCGUGCGAUGGAACUUCAACAACUGUGACCACAAAGUAUAUUGAUGUGCCACAUGAAUAUUGUAUUUCUAGAUUUCUCACUUGAAGUGCUUCUAUAUGAUCCCGUUUCUUAAAUAUUGUACCAUAUGAUUAGAAAAAUUAAUGAUACAAUGUGUGUAUUGGAGGGAGGUCAUGUUGAUGUCUGAAAUGACAAUCAAAGGAGAAUGAGGGUAGUAAGUUGCUAGCUAUUUGCUAAUACUAAAGCCCGGCGGGUCGUUUUGCUUCCUGUCACAAGCCAUGUAACUGCAAUGAUGUGUUAGGCUGAUAUUUGAUGGUUUAUCAAUUUCAGGUCUAACGACUGGAGUUUGUUUCUGUGCUGCAGAUUAGGCGCUUGAAGGAGCAUUUGUUAAAUGAACUGCCGCCCAAGCGCCGGCAGAUCAUUAGGUUGAAGUUGAAGGCAUUGAAUAGCAGGACAGCUACCUCUAUUAUCCAAGGGGAUUACAAUAGCACAUAUAGUAGCUCAGAUACUCCUAUAAUUGCCUCUUCUGAGAUAAGCAAUGAUUGUGAAGAAGCAAAAGAGGGAAAAGGUAACAUUCAUAGUGCUAAUAGUAGCAGAUGUCAAUCACAUAUGUUAAUCUUACCAACAUGAUUACCUUUUAUCAAUUUGCCAUGAACUGGUGUGAUAUCGAAUAGAUAGUUAUAUUGGCCUAAAGCAAGAGGACUGGCUGUAAAUACUAAAACUAACCAGUCAUUUUGCUGAAGCAUGUUCGUUGCAUUAGUCAUUGCUUUGCAUAUGCAAUACCAAAUGUGCCUGGCCUCCAGCUGUGCAGAUUAUGAUGCUAUCAUUGACUAUCUGAAAUGUAUUUUACAAAAUCUAGAUCAACGGGAGCCCUUCGCUAAUGCUAUACUGACGGUAACAAAAAAAAAA
rnacentral:lncRNA from 1 species